GUCAGACUCCUACGGGAGGCAGCAGUGAGGAAUAUUGGUCAAUGGGCGGGAGCCUGAACCAGCCAAGCCGCGUGAGGGAAGAAGGUACAGCGUAUCGUAAACCUCUUUUGUCAGGGAACAAAGGCGGGGACUAGUCCCCGGAUGAGGGUACCUGAAGAAAAAGCAUCGGCUAACUCCGUGCCAGCAGCCGCGGUAAUACGUAGGUGGCAAGGGUUAUCCGGAUUUACUGGGUGUAAAGGGCGUGUAGGCGGGAUGUUAAGUCAGAUUUGAAAACUAUGGGCUCAACCCAUAGCCUGCAUUUGAAACUAUCGUUCUUGAGUGUUGGAGAGGCAGGCGGAAUUCCGUGUGUAGCGGUGAAAUGCGUAGAUAUACGGAGGAACACCAGUGGCGAAGGCGGCCUGCUGGACAAUAACUGACGCUGAGGCGCGAAAGCGUGGGGAGCAAACAGGAUUAGAUCCCCGAGUA
rnacentral:rRNA from 1 species